GCCACGGCUACGGCCUGAGUAUGCUGAGGAAUCUAUCCCUGCAGGAUGCAGAAAAGGUCUUCAUCUCUGGACCAGUUUAUCAUCGGAGAAAACAGGUGCUGGCCACUGGAGGGGGGAACUCUGGGCCACAGUUAUCUGAGCUGGACCAGCGCAUUGGGGCCUUAAUUGGACAGACAGCCCUCACGGGUGUGCCAUCGGCCGAGGAUUUGGAUACAGACAUCGGCCCCGUGUCGGCUGUUUCAUCUCCUAGACCAUCUCCUAUCCAAGAAUUGGAAGAUAAAGUCCUGCCAGGGCAACAGCAACCACCCUCUGAAGCUGAACCUGAAGCAUCCACCAGCACAUCCAUUUACAUUUACAUUUAUU